GGUUAACUGGGCGUAAGGGAGCGUAGGCGGACAUUUAAGUCAGGGGUGAAAUCCCGGGGCUCAACCUCGGAAUUGCCUUUGAUACUGGGUGUCUUGAGUAUGAGAGAGGUGUGUGGAACUCCGAGUGUAGAGGUGAAAUUCGUAGAUAUUCGGAAGAACACCAGUGGCGAAGGCGACACACUGGCUCAUUACUGACGCUGAGGCUCGAAAGCGUGGGGAGCAAACAGGAUUAGAUACCCUGGUAGUCCACGCCCUAAACGAUGAAUACUCGAUGUUAGCGAUAUACAGUUAGCGUCUAAGCGAAAGCGUUAAGUAUUCCACCUGGGGAGUACGCCCGCAAGGGUGAAACUCAAAGGAAUUGACGGGGGCCCGCACAAGCGGAGGAGCAUGUGGUUUAAUUCGAUGAUACGCGAGGAACCUUACCCGGGCUUGAAAGUUACUGAAUUAUCUAGAGAUAGAUAAGUCCGCAAGGACAGGAAACUAGGUGCUGCAUGGUUGUCGUCAGCUCGUGCCGUGAGGUGUCGGCUUAAGUGCCAUAACGAGC
rnacentral:rRNA from 1 species